rnacentral:lncRNA from 1 species
GCUGGUCUUGAACUCCUGGCCUCAAGGAAUCUGCCUGCCUUGGCCUCCCAAAGUGCUGGGAUUACAGGCCUGAGCCACCAUCCCUGACCCAACUAUUGUUUCUUAAAAAAACUCUUUUUAACCUUGCCUUUUUGUUAGGGUAGAAGGAUAGCUCAGAGCUUCAAAGUAAGAGCAGGACUAGACUAAGAACUGUCUGUGAUAUUUGACCAGAGGUGCAGCCUAGCUGCCAUUCUUCCUCACCCUGUGGAAGACAUUAAAGGGAGAAUGAAAGUAGCUGUAGAAUUACCUUUGGGGGAAGAAGCCAUUUGGUGAACUUGGCAAACACCCGUGUUUGAGGGGUCACCCAGGGUGUCAUGAGCCGGGCUGAAGGGGAUGGAUUAAUUACUUGUCUUGUUUGCUUGUUUCUGUUGUAAGUCAGGGCCCCUCAGCAGAAGGCAGAACAGAACCGAGUUCCUUUAGAAUGCUGGUUUUUGUGUGGAGUGAGGAAGGACCGUGAGUGUGGUCAGUUUCCAACCUGACAGGUCCUGCUACCGUUGGCCAGGACUGCAGCUUGUUACUUUGACCCUGGGAAGAAGGUAAGUGUUCCCAAGAAAAGGGACGUCCCAAAGCGGCGCCAUCCCGAUGGCACGUGUGCUGCUCGACUCCCUGCCGGGUAGGUCCAUCCCGACGGCGCAUGUGCCCCUCAGCUCCCCCCACCGGGUAGGUCCAUCCCAACAGCACCUGUGCUGCUCAACUCCCUGCCGGGUAGGUCCAUCCCGACGGUGCAUGUGCCCCUCAGCUCCCCGCCGGGUAGGCCCAUCCCGACAGCACCUGUGCCCCUCAGCUCCCCACCGGGUAGGUCCAUCCCGACAGCACCUGUGCCCCUCACCUCCCUGCCGGGUAGGUCCAUCCCGACAGCACCUGUGCCGCUCGACUCCCUGCCGGGUAGGUCCAUCCCGACGGUG